rnacentral:rRNA from 1 species
GACGAACGCUGGCGGCGUGCUUAACACAUGCAAGUCGAGCGAUGAAGUUUCUUCGGAAAUGGAUUAGCGGCGAACGGGUGAGGAACACGUGAAGAAUCUGCCCUCCACUUUGGGAUAACACCGGGAAACCGGUGCUAAUACCGAAUAUUGAAACAUAAGUGGCAUCACUGAGUUUUGAAAGAAUUUCGGUGGAGGAUGACUUCGCGGCCUAUCAGCUAGUUGGUGAGGUAAUGGCUCACCAAGGCAACGACGGGUAGCCGGCCUGAGAGGGCGACCGGCCACACUGGGACUGAGACACGGCCCAGACUCCUACGGGAGGCAGCAGUGGGGAAUAUUGGGCAAUGGAGGAAACUCUGACCCAGCGACGCCGCGUGCGGGAUGAAGGCCUUCGGGUUGUAAACCGCUUUCAGUAGGGAAGAAGCGAAAGUGACGGUACCUACAAAAGAAGCACCGGCUAACUAUGUGCCAGCCGCCGCCGUAA